CACCAGUUGGUCCUCACUGGAGAGGUGCGUCUCCACUUGGAGACACCAGUUGGUCCUCCCUGGAGAGGUGCGUCUCCACUUGGAGACACCAGUUGGUCCUCCCUGAAACUCUUG